UGGCAUAGUGGUUAAGUGCUAUGGCUGCUAACCAAAGGGUCGGUGGUUCAAAUCCACC
rnacentral:tRNA from 1 species